GAAAUGAGGAGGAGAAAAGGAGCGCUGUCGUUGUGUGUUUCCCCACGGCGUGGCUGAGAUUUCUGCACCGGACUUGGGAACUGGUCAGAAGCAAGACUUGCUUUUUACCCCAGGAAAAUAUAAAAAGUGGAUUAUUUGCCUGUAAACUUUCUUCGGAACCGCCGCCUUUCUUCAAAGACAUAGCCAUCCUGGGACCCAGGGCGGAAGUCGGGUAGAAUUCAGACGCAGUUAAGAAAAGGUGGGCCCUGGCCGGCUUGGCUCAGUGGAUAGAGCGUCAGCUGCAGACUAAAGGGUCCCGGGUUCGAUUCCCAGGUUGCGGCUCGAUAUCCCCAGUGUGGGGCGUGCAGGAGGCAGCCGAUCAAUGAAACUCUCUCAUCAUUGAUGUUUCUAUCUCGCUAUAACUCUCUCUUCCUCUCUGAAAUCAAUAAAAACAUUUUUUUUUAAGGAAAAGGUGGGCUUGGAAGGUUUGCGUAAUCGUGUGAAUUCCCUGAUAAAACCGAAAAAAAAAAAAAACACGUCCACUGGGUCGGAGCUUCAGUAAAUAAAAAAAUGGGAGGAGCAGGCCUUGGCGAUGACCUCACCCGUCGCUGCUCUGUGUCAGAACCGGUUUGAAAUGCUGCAGAGCGACCUGUGAACGCGCCUCCUGAGCUGGCGUUCACUCUGCAUUCCAGGCCGCACGGCGAGUCCUGGGGGGAGUCGGUCUUGGGUUUUGCUUUUCGGUAAAAUGUGGGUUUCCACCGACCGAGUUGUGGGGACAGCAGGCCUCUUCCCAGAAAACCUCGGGUUAACAAAACGUCGGCCCUGGCUGUUUAUCUCAUCUUGUUUACGGGAGCAGGAGAGACUCCGUGGCCUCCGUGUCUCCUUUAUGCCGCCGGCCGGGUGAGGGUCACGGGGCCACGGGGAAUUCCGCGGUAAACAGCGCCCAGGACCAGGUGAAGGCGGCGGCCCCGCAGCAGAAGAUGCUGCGAUUACUCAUCGAGGAGUCGCAUCCGCUGGGUGAGAAGGAGUGUGUUUGCUUUCUCUGUGGAAACCUCUGAGGCUGUGACCGGGACCCUGGCCACUUCCCGGUCCACCCCUGAGUCCACAGCAGUGGGCAGCCCUGAGCCAGUGCAGCCUGGGCCUCUGCUGCGGUGAAUGUGGUGCCUGCACACCUGAUGGCAGUGGCACUGACUGCGUAGAUGUGAGCCAUCAGAGGGAGCCGUGGGCCGAGACGCCCGGGCUUCCGCUGUGGCAUCUAAACGGCGUGAGCGUAGGGGGAAGGGGGGAUAGGUGCUGGCGUAGCCCCUCGCUCGGCACACGCUCUGUGCGAAAAGACAGCAUGUGGUCCAUUCAGCCAUGGACUCAGUGGUGCCACGUAAUCACGUUCUGCGUGCUCCGAACCUCACUGAGGGGCUUGCAUUCCAUACAGACUCCUGAAAUCUUAACCCCCUUAGUCGCUGACAAGCAUGAGUGUAUUAAAAAAAAGUGGGGGAAAGGACUUGGUUGAAACCAGCAAAGGAUCCGGUUGGAGUGGCCUUCACUCAGGGAUUUUCUCACUGGCCUUCCUGGAUUGAGGUGCAGGCAAACAGGCCUGUCUCCGGGAGCGUGACGCGAGCUUUCUUACUUAUUUACUUCCCGUAGAAUCACCUCUUAAGUAAACAACACCCAUGGGUUCCAAAGUCCUUUCGCUGAAUCAGCAGUUGGAUUAACAUGGGAUGAUCAGGGAAAGCCUUGCCUGACCUCACGCAGCCGUGACUCGAUGUCCGAGUGCACAGGGCCUAAGAGUUCUCUGCAGCGCCCGCCAUCAUCCAAACUGCGCAGGGCCUGGGUUUCUAUUUUCUCUAAAAACUCAAAUCCGUAGACAUGGGCGGGCGGUUCGGAGUCAUAGAUGCUCAGCGCAGGCCCCGUAGUGAUGAAGGGACAGCUGAUGACUCUGUGUGCACAGGAUGAGGCCAUGAUGGCCGUCACAGCCAUGGCAACGCUUAAACAUUACGUCAAAGGAAAGUCAGCUGGACGCUCAGUUAGCCGGGGAGUAAGCAGGGACUGGAACCUCAGGAGAUGCUGUGCCCGGCGAGCUCGCUCCACCCCAGAGCGUUGGACAGUCCGUGACCACAGGCAGAGCCGUGUCCUGUCCGUCCGUCCGUGUGUCCGGAUCUGCCGGAGUUGGCACCGUGGUGAGAAGACGGGUUGUCAGUGAAAUGAAAUGGAACGUCGAGGGCAGGAAAAGCAACAUUCACUUAAUUCCCUGACUCAUGUCUCAAGUAUCACAUGGUCUUCAACACUCCAUGCACGCCUUCCCCCCCCAACACCCCGAUUCCCAUCCAUCCUCCCGUGGGGCGUGGACGUGGGGGACAGUCUCCUUUACGGAGGGGGUUCACGCAGUGCAUUCUAUGUAAGUGCACGGGGAACAUUUUGAACCAGCAAUGAGGUGAUUUUUGAACCCUCCCACCGGAAGACAUAAAAUAGAGGGAACCAGAAGAAAUCAAAACAGGACAACGACGCAGGUCUGCCUGGCUGCAGACAGGGUCUGGAGAGAAGUGGGCUUGAUUUUGCUCCUAAACAUUUCACAAAAUCUCCUUUCCUAUCUUACCCCGGGAAAUGGGAAUUGGCGUUGCCCGUGGCUUUACUGGGGUGGAGGGCUGUCUGUAGCCCCCUUUUGUUGUUGUUAAAAUAGACUGUGGCAUCUACGUGUCCGGAUGGUAAACUGGCGUCUUUUAGGAAGAGUAAGCAUGGCUCUGUUGGUGUGUUCUACCCAUUUCGAAUUGAGCGGCGUCUGUUCUCCAAGUGUAAUGACUGUCACCUACACGCAAGGCAUGACCUUCAAACUUAGGACUUGCGGGCGGCCUAGGACCGGAGGCACCAAUGCAGUGACAACAGCAGGAUGUGGAGUCUAGGCCAGUGGCUCUCCCCGGGGGACACUUUUGCGGGCAUCCCCGAACCCCCAGGGCAGUUGGCAAGGUCUGGAGUCAUUUUUGGUUUUCACACUAUAGUGUGGUACUGGCAUCGAUGGGUAGGGGCCAGGGAUGCACAGAACAUUGCUCACGCCCAGGACAGCCCGCCCGCCACAUCAGCCGCGCUGAAGGUGAGACACGGCGUGCACGCGGAUCCUCCAUUCCUCCUGCUCUGAGAUCACCGGCCCGCGCCCGGGUUCUGCGUGCCAAGCGCGGCGCCGGCAGGGAGGCAGCAUUCCUGGGAGGUGCGCUGGGGCCCGCAUUCCAGGUUCACCUGCCCCGGCCUGUCCGCCCUGAGCGCUCCCCAAGUGAAAGCAGGAGGCAUGCGAGGCGCCUUCGCCGCCCCACCUGGCACCUGCCCAGCGGAGCCUGGGGCCCGGGUGGGAACGGGCUCCCUCGCUGCUGGGGAAGCACCCGAACUUCACACAAAGCACCCCGUCUUCCCUGCCCUCUCUCCCCUCCUGGGGGUGCCGGGCGGCGCUGAGCUAAGUCACCCCUCACCGCUCUGCUCCCUGCGAACCAGCAGGAAGCCCAGCUGCCCGAGCCGGGCUUUGGGGGGACAGGAGGCGUCCGCUCUGUUCGGAACCCUCCCUCUCCGACCGCAGCGGCCUGCCCACGGGGAGCACUGUGCCCGGGUGUUGGGAUGGCAGAGCGGGCGGCGAACGGUGGCGUGUCUGCCGCGUGGUUCUCUGGGACCGUGGUGUUGGGCUCGGCUAUCACGUGGUUGCGCCUGAUGGUCUGGCAGAGGGCCAGGCAGCCGUGUCACCCGUCUCAGCCCGCAACCUCCCCGCGGACUGGCGCGUCACGGUGCCUUCAGCCGGGCCCGAGGACGGUACCAGAGCCUUGGAGCCGCGCACACCCGGGGCAUCCUGUGGCGCGUGGGCAGGGCCGGGGACGGGCGCGGGGCCUGCUGGAAUCGGGGGCCUGUAAGGAAAGCAGUGUGGUUGCGUGUGGGUCCAGGAACACGUACCCCAGAAGGACCGUGCGUCAUAAAAUACAGCGAUUUCUUGAGCGGUAGAGCCACACUGACUGCCCGGUGCAGCUGGCGCCCCAUGAGCACUUGCUGAGGGAGGGACCGUGGUCCAGCUCUCACUUCGCACAGGAGGAGACUCGAGGUCCUGCUGUGGCCGAGAGCAAGGCUGCGCGUGGGGUGUGCGUGGCCCGAGCGCCAUGUGCCGACGCAGGGGACCCCGAAGGAACGAAACCAGUAUCUCCUGGAGUCGCUGCCCUUCACGCCCCUGGCACCACGGCUCCCGACAGCCAGGACGUGGAAACGCCUGCGUGCCCGCCGGUGGGGGAGCAGAGGAGGAAGGUGAGCUGCGGUGAAUGUCACCCAGUGAGACAAGAAGGCAUUCCUGCCAUUUGCAGCGACAUGGACGGGCCUGGAGAACGUUAUUCUAAGUGAAAUAAGCCAGACAUAGAAUGACAAGUACUGUAUGAUCUCACCUAUGUGUGGAAACUUCCAAAAAAUAUAUAAAGUUGAGCUUGUAGGCACAGAGUGGGGCGCUGGUUGCCAGGAGCCGGGGGGAGGGGAGCGGGGAGAGGGUCAAAGGGCACAGACUCGCAGUUGGAGGCUGAGCGGUUCCUGGUGGUCGAAUGCACAGCACAGCGACUGUCGUUAAUAACGCUGCCAAUACGCAGGCUCGGGAUUUGCCAAGAGAGGAGGUCCUAGUUCUCAGCACACACAUGUGCGCACACAACACGCAGAGGUGACCGUGUGGUGACAGGUGGGUUUUAAAAAAGAUCUGUGUGCUGCUAUCACCUAAACACAUAUGACGACACGGCUAGGAAGUCCUAAGUCAAGCAAAAGUUUAUUAACAUGUUCGUUAUCUCGGAAAACGCUCCAUUGGGGCACAGAAACUUCCAGCUCAUCAUCGUCUAUUUCUAAAUGCACAACACGGAGCAAGCAGUAGACUCUCUGAGUACGUCAUAAUUCAGUAACAGAUCAGCUAGGGGGGAUGUUUUUAAAAUGUCUAUUGCUGUCCUGGCUGGUGUGGCUCGGUUGGCUGGGCAUCGUCCCGUGCACCGAAAGGCUGCCGGUUCGAUUCCCGGUGCGGGGGCAUGCAGGAGGCAGCCCAUCGAUGUUUCUCUCUCUCCCUCUCCGUUCUUGUCUCUCUAAAAAUCAAUUAUGAAAAUUUUAAAGUAAAAUAAAAUGCCUUUUCCUAGCAGGGAUGAUGGUCAGCACUGUCUAGCUCCUGCCGUCCUAGUCUCGUCACCAGCUCUCCAUCCGUGUGAGGGCCCCAUGCUGGGCGCUGGGUGCUCUGCGGCCAGUAGUGACCAGCUGUGAGAGCUGGUGCAGGGCCCUGCGUGGACUGUGAACUGUAAGCACUGAUGACGUCAGCAGAGUUAGGUAAACACAGCUGGGACUGCCCCGUAGCCCGCGGGUGACCUGACCGCAGCUGUCAUUCACCCUUGGAGAGGCAGAGGUCCACCAUGUGGUGGACCUGCCACGGUGCCUUGGGUGGUUGUGUCUGUUUUCUCGUUCACAGAUUUUCAUGGAGCCAAUAGAAUCGAGAGGCUCAGGCGCCUCUAGGACAGGCUGGGUUCAUGCUGGGGCCGAGGCUCUCCCUGGCGUGUGACCUUGGGCGGGAUCCAAGGUCAGAUUCCUCAGCUCGGGAAGGAGGGUAGCCCUGGAGGAACAGUGUGCGGCUCAGGACAGAUGACCUGGCCCCAUCCCCGGCACGGUUAGUGGCAGCAGACUCCGAAAUCAAACAGAAAAAUAAACCGAAUGACCUGGGACGGAGUUUCUUCUUCUGAAUGACUAAGCAUUCCAAUAGCCUCGCACAUGGCGGUUCCCAGGAAGCUGUCCACCACACACGCUGCCUCUUAACGGAGGAAAUCCAGGCUGUGAGCGAGCCGUCUGUGCGCCGGGCCAGCGGCUCUCCUGUGCCUAGUUGCCUGCACUUGGAGCCUCUGCGGUCAGGAUUUUUCCGCAAGUUCAUUGCCGCCGGCUGUCCCGGCUGCUGUCAUCUGGCUGCCAGAGCCCGGCCUGGGACGCAUGCAGCCGCAUUAGAAAUCACCCGGGCACGCUGUCCUCGCGUCUGCCAAGGCACCUCGGUCACACGGUGGGACAGUCCGGGGCGAGGGCCCGGCUAGGCUUGAGCUCCUCCGACGCUGACGUGGUUCCCACGUUUACAUUUCCCAGGCGUCGGGCUGCGUGUUUCCAAGCGCUUGCUGUGUCCUCGGCUUUAGCAGGCAGGCCUUUCUGCAGACCUUAAUCUCCAGUAUUUUUUUAAAAUAAGAAAACACUCUGUUA